AUCCAUACCCUCUUAGACCUAGGUAUAAAUAUUAUUUUUACACAAACUAAUCAGCCUUUAGUCUGAUUCUUCCCACACUAGCCAUCUCCUUCUCCUCUUCUCUUUCAACUUUUUUUUCCUUUCAUCCUUGUUGUCGCUACCCAUAGCUUCUUAAUCUACCAUGUUUUUCUUUUAUUUUUUCCACAAGUUGUUGCACCCUGUCCCCCUCCAUCUUGCUGCCAUUUUUCCCUUAAUUUUUCAACCCCAAAUAUUAAAUUUUGGAUCUCCAAGAUUGAUCCCUAUUGUUGCCAACAAGUGUCAUUACUGC
rnacentral:lncRNA from 1 species